UCGUGAUGAUGCUCGUGAUCGUGGUCACAAUGAUCAUGAUCGUGAUGAUGAUGCUCGUGAUUGUGGUCAUGAUGUUCAUGGUCAUGAUGAGCC
rnacentral:pre_miRNA from 1 species